GUGCCCCCGCCCCACAAGUGCCCCCGCCCCACAAGUGCUCCUGCCCCAUAGUGAUGUGUCCCUGCCCCAUAAUGCCCCCCCCCCCACAAGUGCUCCUGCCCCACAAGUGCCCCCGCCCCACAAGUGCUCCUGCCCCACAAGUGCCUCUGCCCCACAGGUGACAGCCUGGAGUACAUCAACGUCCCCACGGUGACGCCCAGCCCUGCAUCCCGCUACGGUGCGGCCCCACACAUCCCAUAAUACCCCACGGCUCCCAUACUGUCCCCAUAUGUCCCUAUAUGUCCCCUAUCGUCCCCAUAUGACCCCAUAUUGUCCCUAUAUGUCCCCAUAUGUCCCUAUAUGUCCCUAUAUGUCCCCAUAUGUCCCUAUAAGUACCCUAUUGUCCCAAUAUGACCCUAUAU
ensembl:lncRNA